UAAGCGCAUACGGUGGAUGCCUUGGCAGUCAGAGGCGAUGAAAGACGUGGAAGCCUGCGAUAAGGUUCGGGGAGCUGGCAAACAAGCUGUGAUCCGGGCAUUUCUGAAUGGGGAAACCCACCGACUUUCGGGUCGGUAUCUUACACUGAAUCCAUAGGUGUAAGAGGCGAACCGGGGGAACUGAAACAUCUAAGUACCCCGAGGAAAAGAAAUCAACCGAGAUUCCCUAAGUAGCGGCGAGCGAACGGGGACUAGCCCUUAAGCUAGACAACUGGUAGGAGAAGGCUCUGGAAAGUGCCGCCAUAGUGGGUGAUAGCCCCGUAUCCGAAACCUGAGUCUGGUGAAAUCGAGUAGGACGGGACACGUGAUAUCCUGUCUGAACAUGGGGGGACCACCCUCCAAGCCUAAGUACUCCUUGCCGACCGAUAGCGAACCAGUACCGUGAGGGAAAGGUGAAAAGAACCCCGCAAGGGGAGUGAAAUAGAACAUGAAACUAUAAGCUUACAAGCAGUAGGAGGACGACUUAACGUCUGACUGCGUGCCUGUUGAAGAAUGAGCCGGCGACUUAUAAGCAAUGGCAGGUUAAAUGUAGGAGCCAUAGCGAAAGCGAGUCUGAAUAGGGCGACGAGUUCGAGGGAUAAGACCCGAAACCGAGUGAUCUAGCCAUGUGCAGGUUGAAGGUGCGGUAACACGCACUGGAGGACCGAACCCACGUCUGUUGAAAAAGACGGGGAUGACGUGUGGCUAGGGGUGAAAGGCCAAUCAAACUCGGAAAUAGCUCGUACUCCCCGAAAUGCAUUUAGGUGCAGCGUUGUGUUAGUUUUAUAGAGGUAGAGCUACUGAUUGGAUGCGGGGGCUUCACCGCCUACCAAUUCCUGACAAACUCCGAAUGCUAUAAAAUGAUGCACAGCAGUGAGGGCAUGGGUGCUAAGGUCCAUGUCCGAGAGGGAAAGAACCCAGACCAUCAGCUAAGGUCCCCAAAUGUAUGUUAAGUUGAAUAAACGAGGUGGAAUUGCUUAGACAGCUAGGAUGUUGGCUUGGAAGCAGCCAUUCAUUUAAAGAGUGCGUAACAGCUCACUGGUCGAGCGGUCCCGCAUGGAUAAU
rnacentral:rRNA from 1 species